rnacentral:rRNA from 1 species
CCUACGGGUGGCAGCAGUGGGGAAUAUUGCGCAAUGGGCGAAAGCCUGACGCAGCGACGCCGCGUGAGGGAUGAAGGUCUUCGGAUCGUAAACCUCUGUCAGCAGGGAAGAACGGUCACUGUGCUAAUCAGCAGUGAAUUGACGGUACCUGCAAAGGAAGCACCGGCUAACUCCGUGCCAGCAGCCGCGGUAAUACGGAGGGUGGGAGCGUUAAUCGGAAUUACUGGGCGUAAAGCUCUCGUAGGCGGUAUGUCAAGUCAAGGGUGAAAGCCCCGGGCUCAACGUGGGGACUGCCUUGGAAACUGGGAAACUGGAGUGUGGGAGAGGAGAGUGGAAUUCCAGGUGUAGGAGUGAAAUGCGUAGAGAUCUGGAGGAACACCAGUGGCGAAGGCGACUAUCUGGAACGUAACUGACGCUGAGGAGCGAAAGCGUGGGUAGCAAACAGGAUUAGAUACCCUUGUAGUC